rnacentral:rRNA from 1 species
AUGGAUAGCUCCAAAUUAACGCUCUAUUGUUGGAACGUGCGGGGCCUUGGCCAGCCUAAAAAAUGCAACGGUAUCCUAGAGGAACUCAUCUCCAUUAAACCACACACCUGUUUCCUCCAAGAAACUAAACUAACUGCUCCAGACUCUAUAAAGAUCAAAUCCUUCAUUCCAAGGCAUUUAGAUCUCACCUUCCACAAAGAUGCUACCGGCUCGUCCGGGGGCUUACUUGCCCUGUCCUCUGCAAAUUUCUCUAAUCCGUCACAAACCCACUCUAACUUUCUACAAUCCAUUACCCUCCACUCUCUAGCCACUCCUCUACCGCUCUUCAUCACAAACGUGUAUGCCCAUACUAACCACUCCCUAAAACACCAAUUCCUACAUGACUUAUCUGGGGCCGCUCCACCCCCAAACAUCCCCUGGUUAGUAUGCGGUGACUUUAACCUAAUGAGAUAUGCUCACGAUAAAAACAACGACUCCUUCCGUCAGGCCGAAGCCGACCUCUUUAACUUGACCAUUAACAACCUAGCCCUCCUAGAAUUACCUCUUCUAGAUUGAUGUUUCACCUGGUCGAAUAAGCGGGACAAACCUACCCUGGAACAUCUCGAUUGGGUUUUCGUAAAUGAUGCUUGGGACCAAAUUUUCCCGGACUCCUCUGUUUCUAGCUUAACUUGUUUUAUCAUGUCCUUAAAGACCUCAAUCAUCUCCUUAAACACCUCAAUCCCGCGUCCCGCACUUUUUCAGUUCAAACUUGGCUGGGCUCAAAGCCCCGCUUGUAGGCUGGUCAUUGCUUAG